CGGAGAGGCCAUCGGCAAAGGUCCUGCGUAGUGCUCAUUGGAACCAUAAAGCACAAAGAAGAUCUGCCAGAAGGGGGGGAUAUGUGGCUAUUGCAACCUUAAACCAUAUGAGGAUCCUUUUGCAAUCAGAGAAUCUUGUCCAAAAGCAAUGCAGUAUGAAGCUCAUCAUCACAUUAUUUGUCCUACAUAAUGCACUCUUCCUGACAUUUCUCUGCUGUUCAUCUAUUUUUAAGCAAACCCUGCUUUGCAGUGUUUUCUGAUCCAAGAACCCCCCAUUCACUGAUGAUAAAAAUGAAAAUAGAUUGGUGCGUGCAACAUUGAGACACACAGACAACUCCCUGAUGUGAUUAAAUAUCCAAAAGAAACAAUCCUGAAUCCUAUUUGUUUAGCAAAUGGAACAACUUGACUCUCAUCUCUCAUUGACUCCCCCACCUGUAGAGCCUGAAACCUCACUUUCAAACAAUGUUACAUAAGAGAUGGAGAGCAUCUGUGGAAAAAGUGUGUUAUGCUGAUGUGGGGGGACCACAGUGGGGGAGUCAACUGUUUACUGGCCAGAAACCAUCAAAGCCUUUGAUUUAACCAGCUUCCUUCUAAUGUGGUAAGCGAUGAAAAUCAGUACAAAACUAUGUUAAUGUUUGAAAAUUAAAAUUGUCUUCACCAGAAUACACAUUUGGAUUUAGAUCACCUGCUAAAUCCAAAGACAAUUCAAAUUAAAGUGUUAGAAUGUUAAAAUUACAUAAAUGUGUUCACUUAAUCAAGGACAGGAUUAGUUGCGCAAUCUUGCUGUUUUAUUACACACAAAUGGUCUUUUAUGUCCCUCAUCAUCAUAAAUCUAUUUUUCUUAUUCUACCCAGUUAUUGUUUUGUAACUUUUAUUUGAAUUUGCAUUGGUUAAAUAAGAAAUACACCAUC